GGUCUCGUGGUGUAGUGGUUAUCACGUCUGCUUUACACGCAGAAGGCCGCCGGAUCGUGCCCGGCCGAGAUCA